rnacentral:rRNA from 1 species
UAGGAAUCUUCCACAAUGGGCGAAAGCCUGAUGGAGCGACGCCGCGUGAGGGAUGAAGGCCUUAGGGUUGUAAACCUCUAAAAGAGGGACGAUAAUGACGGUACCUCUUGAAUAGCACCGGCUAACUCCGUGCCAGCAGCCGCGGUAAUACGGAGGGUGCAAGCGUUAUCCGGAAUCACUGGGCGUAAAGGGCGCGUAGGCGGUCUGUUAAGUCCGAUGUUAAAUCCCGGGGCUCAACCCCGGAUAAGCGUUGGAUACUGGCAGGCUAGACGGUUGGAGAGGCGAGUGGAAUUACUAGUGUAGCGGUGGAAUGCGUAGAUACUGGUAGGAACACCCAUUGCGAAGGCAGCUCGCUGGACAACACGUGACGCUGAGGCGCGAAAGUGUGGGGAGCAAACC